rnacentral:rRNA from 1 species
AGUGAACGCUGGCGGUAGGCCUAACACAUGCAAGUCGAACGGCAGCACAGUAAGAGCUUGCUCUUACGGGUGGCGAGUGGCGGACGGGUGAGGAAUACAUCGGAAUCUACUUUUUCGUGGGGGAUAACGUAGGGAAACUUACGCUAAUACCGCAUACGACCUACGGGUGAAAGCAGGGGAUCUUCGGACCUUGCGCGAUUGAAUGAGCCGAUGUCGGAUUAGCUAGUUGGCGGGGUAAAGGCCCACCAAGGCGACGAUCAGUAGCUGGUCUGAGAGGAGGAUCAGCCACACUGGAACUGGGACACGGUCCAGACUCCUACGGGGGGCAGCAGUGGGGAAUAUUGGACAAUGGGCGCAAGCCUGAUCCAGCCAUACCGCGUGGGUGAAGAAGGCCUUCGGGUUGUAAAGCCCUUUUGUUGGGAAAGAAAAGCAGCAGGUUAAUACCCCGCUGUUCUGACGGUACCCAAAGAAUAAGCACCGGCUAACUUCGUG